rnacentral:rRNA from 1 species
AGCGCGAACGUUGGCGGCGUGCCUAACACAUGCAAGUCGCGGGGCAGCAGGCUAUUACCUUCGGGUAAUAGUGCUGGCGACCGGCAAACGGGUGAGUAACGCGUAGCUAACCUACCCAUAGGUUGGGGAUAACCAUCCGAAAGGGUGGCUAAUACCCAAUAAUGAGGAGACUCCAAAGCCCUUUUGGGCGCCUAUGGAUGGGGCUGCGUCCCAUCAGCUAGUUGGUGAGGUAAUGGCUCACCAAGGCUACGACGGGUAACCGGUCUGAGAGGAUGAUCGGUCACAGCGGGACUGAGACACGGCCCGCACCCCUACGGGGGGCAGCAGUGGGGAAUAUUGGGCAAUGGCCGAAAGGCUGACCCAGCAACGCCGCGUGGUGGAUGAAGCCCUUCGGGGUGUAAACACCUUUUCUGGGGGAAGAUAAUGACGGUACCCCAGGAAUAAGGGACGGCUAACUACGUGCCAGCAGCCGCGGUAAUACGUAGGUCCCGAACGUUGCGCG